rnacentral:rRNA from 1 species
UGUCAGCCGCCGCGGUAAUACGGAGGGUGCAAGCGUUAAUCGGAAUUACUGGGCGUAAAGCGCACGCAGGCGGUCUGUCAAGUCAGAUGUGAAAUCCCCGGGCUUAACCUGGGAACUGCAUUUGAAACUGGCAGGCUAGAGUCUUGUAGAGGGGGGUAGAAUUCCAGGUGUAGCGGUGAAAUGCGUAGAGAUCUGGAGGAAUACCGGUGGCGAAGGCGGCCCCCUGGACAAAGACUGACGCUCAGGUGCGAAAGCGUGGGGAGCAAACAGGAUUAGAUACCCUGGUAGUCCACGCCGUAAACGAUGUCGACUUGGAGGUUGUGCCCUUGAGGCGUGGCUUCCGGAGCUAACGCGUUAAGUCGACCGCCUGGGGAGUACGGCCGCAAGGUUAAAACUCAAAUGAAUUGACGG